GCCCAGGUAUCUCAGUGGUAAAGAAUCUGCCUGCCAAUGCAGAAGAUGCAGGUUCAAUACCUGGAUUGGGAA
rnacentral:tRNA from 1 species